rnacentral:rRNA from 1 species
CAGUCGCCGCGGGAAUACGAAGGGGGCUAGCGUUGCUCGGAAUUACUGGGCGUAAAGGGAGCGUAGGCGGACUGUUUAGUCAGAGGUGAAAGCCCAGGGCUCAACCUUGGAAUUGCCUUUGAUACUGGCAGUCUUGAGUACGGAAGAGGUAUGUGGAACUCCGAGUGUAGAGGUGAAAUUCGUAGAUAUUCGGAAGAACACCAGUGGCGAAGGCGACAUACUGGUCCGUUACUGACGCUGAGGCUCGAAAGCGUGGGGAGCAAACAGGAUUAGAUACCCCAGUAGUCCCUGUCUCUUAUAC